CUCCAGUUAUCAUUGAAUUGUACAGCUUAAUGGAAGAGUUUGUGUCAGUAUGACUCCAUCUUUUUGAAGACAUUGUGUUUUUCUUACUGGCACCGUGGGAGGCUUGGCAUCCGGAGUAGGAGGACAUUUUCUAGGAGACAUUCAGGCGUAAAUGGAUUUCCUGGUGAAAGGGAGUAGAGUGAGGAGGGAAAUAUAUCUGUAUUAUUAACAAAACACGAUGAACAAGAACAAGUUUAACUUUCAGAAGCACAGGAUUCCUUUGGCCUUUUUGUACGCAUCUCAGUCUGUGGAUAUUUUUUAUUUUUUUAUUUUUAUUUUUUUACAGAGUUCAUUGUGGAUGUUAUAUAACUGUGUGUGGCAAGAACCAUCCAACCCGGCUGAACAUGUGAGCUACCAUCGAGUCUACAACAAGGAACACUGUCUCGAGUCACAACCAACUCAGGCCUACCCCCCUCCUGUUACCUUCUUACCCCAGAACCCCUACACACAUCCUCUCUCCAACAACCCCCUGUACCCCGCCAGCUACCCCACCCAAGGCCAAGGUCAGGGCGAGGCGCCACGGCCCCUCUUCCCUAAGGAGCAGUCCGUGUGACCCCCUGAAAUCAUUCUGGAGCUCCAGCUCAGUAAGAGCCAUCAUCAGAGCUGAUGUAACCUGAAAUACAGGAAGCUACACCAAGCUUUGCUCUAAGGGUGUGUAUGCCCCCCCACCCCCACCACCACCACCACCACCACCACCACCUCUCUCUCUCUCUCUCUCUCUCUCUCUCUCUCUCUCUCUCUCUCUCUCUCUCUCUCGCUCUCUCUCUCACUGUCUCUCUCUCACUCUCUCUCUCUCUCUCUCUCUGUCUCUCUCUCUGUCUCUCUCUCUCUCUCUCUCUCUGUGUCUCUCUCUCUCUCUGUCUCUCUGUCUCUCUGUCUCUCUCUGUCUCUCUCUCUCUCUCUCUCUGUCUCUCUCUCUCUCUCUCUCUCUCUCUCUCUCUCUCUCUCUCUCUGUUUCUAUUAGCCUGAUGAUGGAGUGGGCCUCCCCCUGCUAUGAUGGAAGUGUCAGUAGUUUGUGGACCUUAAAACCUUGUGUGUUGUGCACUGCAUGUUCCACCGAGGCUGUCAGUAUGACUCCUCAUCUUGUGCUGUUAUUGUAGACACCACUGCCAUCACAUUCCACUCCACUCAGCCUCACCCUCACCACCCUAAUGUAGGUGUGUUCUUCAACUAGCUGUCCUCAAUGUCUUGAUUGCUUCCAUAUCCUUGUAAAUGUUCAUUUUUAACUUUUGCCAAGUGUUCAACAAUGUACAAUAUACACCACUGGGUCACUCAAGAUUUAUUUAAUACUUUUUCUCUUCCCACAGUAGUAGGGACAUCUUUUCUCUUCCCACAGUGCUAGGAACCUAUUUUCUCUUCCCACAGUGAUAGGGACCUCUUUUCUCUUCCCACAGUGAUAGGGACCUCUUUUCUCUUCCCACAGUAGUAGGGACCUCUUUUCUCUUCCCACAGUGAUAGGGACCUCUUAUCUCUUCCCACAGUGGUAGUGACCUCUCUUCUCUUGAUUGGUAUACACUUUUGUACGUAUGGACUUUUGUUUUAUGUUUGUUAAUAAUAAUUUGCUUGCUUCUUUAUAAAUACGUACAUGUAUGUGUGAUUGCGUGUGUGAUGGUGAAAGUACAUGACAUUUUAUUUCUGUCAUCAUUGUUUUUAAUAAUAAAUAUCUGACAUGGACUAUAUCAACAGGAUAAUUGGUAGUUUGACCUGGAUCACUCCUCUCAAAAACAUCUACAAUUAGGACUGAUUUGGUUAUUUUGGAUUACUAACAGUGUUAUGUUAUCACCCCCAUAAGAUAUAACGUCAAGCUAAGGGCUCUAAAUCCAAUCGAAGUACAG
ensembl:lncRNA